GCGUCGGUAGUGCAACGGUUCAGCACGCGCUCCCGGAUAGGGUAAAAUCUGGGUUCGGAUCCCAGCUGACGCA